rnacentral:rRNA from 1 species
UACGAAGGUGGCAAGCGUUGUUCGGAUUUACUGGGCGUACAGGGAGCGUAGGCGGUUGGAUAAGCCCUCCGUGAGAUCUCCAGGCUUAACCUGGAAAGCGCAGAGGGUACUGCCAGGCUAGAGGGUGGGAGAGGAGCGCGGAAUUCCCGGUGUAGCGGUGAAAUGCGUAGAGAUGUGGAGGAACACCAAUGGCGAAGGCAGCCUCCUGGGCCAACACUGACACUCAUGCACGAAAGCGUGGGGAGCAAACAGG